CUGAGUUAUCUAAAAACUCCCAACCCUUUGUGCACUUACCACUGUUGCCUCGGCGAGCCGCGCUGUGGAAUAGGCUAUGUAGUAGCUACACACGGCGCACUAUAGGCUCGUCAAAGGACCAAACAAACACUGUCAUAUUUUUGUAUCUCUGAAUCGUAUAUAACAAAAUACGUUA
rnacentral:misc_RNA from 1 species